rnacentral:rRNA from 1 species
UACGUAGGGUGCGAGCGUUAAUCGGAAUUACUGGGCGUAAAGCGUGCGCAGGCGGCUGCGCAAGUCGAGUGUGAAAGCCCCGGGCUUAACUUGGGAAUUGCGCUCGAAACUACGUGGCUGGAGUGUGGCAGAGGAAGGUGGAAUUCCAGGUGUAGCGGUGAAAUGCGUAGAGAUCUGGAGGAACACCGAUGGCGAAGGCAGCCUUCUGGGCCAACACUGACGCUCAUGCACGAAAGCGUGGGGAGCAAACAGG